UGGGGAGUCGUCUAAUGGUAGGACAGCAGACUCUGGAUCUGUACGUGAGAGUUCGAUUCUUUCCUCCCCAGCCU
rnacentral:tRNA from 2 species